GAUGAGUUCUCUGGCUGAAUCAUGCAACCUAUUUCUCUAUAUUUUGUGAAAAUCUCUGAAGUGAGACUCUACCACCAUCUGAAAUUUGGGUCCUGUGUCCCUAACUCCAGUGGAUGUACAGAAAAUAUGCCCUUUACAAAAAAAAUCAAGUGAUUAAAAAAACCUCAACCAAUCACAGUUCUUUGUCUGCACAUUUGUUCCUGGUGUGAAUAUAAGCAGCUACUGAGGGCAGUUCAGUUGAACAAGUUAUAUCAGGGGUUCAUUGGAGACAUAUCUGAUGAAAACGUCAAAAGAAAGAAGAUCAACAGUAGCAAAAUUAUAAAGCCAAGAUGGAAGCUGGAAGCAUUCAAGGCAAAAACUAAAGGUCUGUGAAAAAGACCCUGGAGGCAACCUUUGGGGAAUUCUUCAACACUGACAGCCAAUGGCAGUUGUCUGAAAAUAUGGCAGCUGCAGACCAAAGACUUCAGGGGAAAUCUGGUAAAAAGCCUUAAAGGUUCCUGUGUGUUGGCAACUUCGUCAGAGUGGGACUCUGUGGUUUUAAUUAUUUAUUGUUUUAAUUUUGUUGUUAUGUUUUUGUGUUUUAUAUUUGAUUUUAUACUUUGUGUACUGUUGGGCCCGGUUCUCCAUGUAAGCCACCCCGAGUCCCUUUGGGGAGAUGGAGACAGGUUAUAAAAAUAAAGUUAUCAUUAUGGCACUCUUAUCAAACCCUCAGGAUGAGACCUGUCAUUCAUUUGUGGAGGAUCUUGAUAAAAUAAUUACCUUAAAAUUGGUGAAAGAAUGGUUUUUUUAACUUUUAUACACAGGUUCUUAUUGCUUUUAAGGGAUGAUCAGGUUUGCCUUUAUAGCACCUUUGUCCAUAUAUGGGAAGAGACCAAGCAGUGUAUGAAUAACUACCGGUAACUAAAACUUAGUGGUGCUGCUCAGUUCGGCACCUAACACCUCAAAAGAUGUUCAUAAAAACUUCAGUUUUCUUGCCACCAGUUUAAUUUCAGAUAUGUUACUAGAAACCAUUUCUUUUGUUCUAUAAUCUUUUCUAAAGUCAGGAAUAGUGGCUGCAGUGCAUUAUUUCUUUUCUGGAUUCCUGACUUUCUCCCUGUAAUCUUCACAGCAACACUUUAGAUGUUUAUCUCUAGUUUUCUAGCACCCUUUAAAAAAAUGUUUCCCAACACUAUGUAAGUCCAUUUUGUUUCUGGAUUAUAAAUGCCAUUUCCUUAUUGGUUAUAUCAUAAAAACAUUGAUAAAAGUUUGUUAAACUGCAAAAACUUUGCUUUUGUGGGACAUUUUGCUAUAGUUUUUCAAUUAAUAUCUCAUAGAGUCUCAGCUAAUUCAACAUAGUUUAUGGCAGCCAAAAAAACCAAAGUUUCUGGAGUUUAACAGCUACUUUCAAAGUAUCGCACAAUGAAACAGGAAUAACACUUUCAAACCAGGAACAGAAAAUAUUUCAAAUUUCAUUACAUAGUGUUAUAGUAUGACCCCAUUUUUUGCUUCUAGGAAGCCCCCUUGAAAUUUGACACAAAGCUGCCAACUGCAACUUGGCU